UACAAGUCAGUUUUCCUCCUUCUCCAAGAAGACAUCAUCCAACACAUGAUAUUGAUUUCAGGUAUUGGCAUAUUGCAAAAGCAACCCCCAACACAACUUGUUUGUGAAUUAGGAGUAGCUCAAGUCACAGAAGACACAAAUAACAGCUUGGACUUGAAGCACUCAUAAAAGCUAACAAAAAGCCUAGCAGAGGAUGUAGUCGUAGACAAAUAGUGUUAAUGAAGUGUGUUGAAUGAAUGCUAAGAAAGACAAGAUAGUGUUUAAGUGGAGUAAAUUUUACUGAUUACAUGCACAACAAUUUAGGUAAGUAGGGCAUCCAACCUGCAUCACCCUAGCAUUUAAUAACACUGGUUUGGUUAAAGAUUAUCAUGUAGACUUG
rnacentral:misc_RNA from 1 species